AAGCAUUUACGAUGUGCUUAUGUUAUUUAGGCACUACAAUUAGCACCAAGAUUACAAAAAUAUAAGCAAAAGGAAUGCUAGAAUCUGCUCUCAAGGUGUUUCCACUCCAAUCAGAGAAGACAACACAUAAAGAUGGUGCUGGGUGCCUGGUGAAUUCCAGAGUUAGGCUCAGAGCAUGGAGAAUGAAAGAAUGAACAUGACUGCUGAGUAGACUUCUUUUGGAAGGCCACCUAUUGGAGGAAGAGGCAACAGGAGAAUCUCCCAAGGCUGUGGCUCUAGUUCUCAAAUUCCAUGCUGGUGAUUUGGACUUCCCAAAGCCCCCUGGUUGCCAUGCAGAUGAUCAGAGGAUCUUUGAUCUGAAACUGGAAAGAACCCUGAAAAUGAAGGUCCGGAGAGUAAGUGGAUUGCCCAGGCAGAAUUUAGCAGAACUGGGCUUUGAACCCAAGUCACAGGACUAA
rnacentral:lncRNA from 1 species